rnacentral:lncRNA from 1 species
CGGUAAACACCAGACAACUAAGCUCUAACUAGAUGCCCAGGUUGCUCAUUAGUCAUCUUUAAACCAACAAUUUGUGAAAUCCAGAAUCGAAACAACAAAUGAGCAAUUGCCACCUGUGAAAAAUAUCUCAUCACCCCAAUCUGUAACUGGGUCCCAUGUGUAAUCCUCAAGAAGACUAUUGUUGAGCUUAUGUUACCACAAUUACACAAUUUAGGGAAACCCUUUGAAGUUGAAAAAUGUAAGCAUGAGGCUGCAGAUGUUGAAUUUGGGGAGCUCCAGCGGCAUGCCUGCUGAAAGAUGUAUUUAAUUUUUUGGUUAAUAUGCUAUAAAAUAAGCAUUAGCUAGUAUAUAUUAGCACAUAUAAUGUAGAUCUGUACUGGAGAAUGAUUAUAUAUGAUGUAAAUCGCUAAAUUAUUUUGUUAUUAAUUACACCAGAAAUUACAAUAAGAAAUUUGAAAUUUGUGAAUCUCACCUUUCAAUUUUUUUUUUUUUUUUGGUAAAUCGUUGAUUCGAUAAUAUCAUCAGUUUUUGCUUUAUCUUCAUCU